GUCUAUGAUGGUCAUACCAUCGCAACAUAUAUAAUCUUGUCUCAUCUCAGAAGCUAAGCAAGGUCAGGCCUGGCUAGUACUUGGAUGGGAGACUACUUGGAAAUAGAGAGUGCUUAUAGGCU
rnacentral:rRNA from 1 species